AUUUAUAUAGUUUAAAUAAAACAUUACAUUUUCACUGUAAAAAUAAAUUAUAAUUAUUUUAUAAAUU
rnacentral:tRNA from 1 species